AACCAACGUGCCGCCCCUCUGUGGGCGGGGAUUCACACUAGCUGUCUGUGUCAAGGCCACGCAGAAAUCUAUUGGAAAUCGCUGUGGAAACAAACGCAAAUGAAAAGCCGCAAAGAGCAAAGGCUGCUCACUGGCCCGUCUCCUCUCAUGACUGCUGCUCUGGGAACCACCUCUCUGCUCUCCAUCGCUACCACUCUAGCCUGUGGCCUGCUCCUGGUUGAAGAAGCCAUCAAUGAAAAUGAAUACCACUCUGGAAAUCUUGGGUGGUCUGACCUGAUAUUUUCGCAUAGUGGCCACAGAUAUUUUAGGCCCCCAAGAGGUAGUCUUACUCUUUCAAUUUUACUGGCUCCACUGUUUGAGGAACUUGGAACAAUUUCCCCAGGGACUGGUCUGGAGAGACAGGAUCUCACUAUGUUGCCCAGGCUGGUCUCGAACUCUUGGACUCAAGUGAUCCUCCUGCCUUGGCCUCCCAAAGUGCUGGAAUUACAGGAAUUAGCCUCCUUACUGUCAGACCAGCCACAGAACUUCCUCCCACUUAUCCCUUAGAUGUCAACUACCCACACUUCAAAUCACCCUGGAGACUGAUGUGACUGGGAUGAUUUGACUGCAUGUAGGUCAGAGCUGCCUCCAGGCAACUUGUGGGGCCAAGGCUCUGUGGCUAGAAGGAAGUGAGCAUUAAUACAUCACUUAGAACAGCAAAAAUCAUCAUCUGAAGAUCAUCAUCUGAAAAGAUCAGCAUCAGAAGAGCUGUGAAUAUCACCGAUCUGAUAAUUGGGUAUUUUUGGUAAAACACACACACACACACACACACACACACACACACACACACACGCACAGAUGCACACAGCCCUGCUUUUAUGAGAAUUGAGCUUAAAUAGAUGUGGGUGGAGGUUUUACUGAACUGGAUAUUUCUUAACUUUUGGAGUACAACACCUAGUCUCCUAAUUCCUGUCCUGCAUAGCGUGCUUACACAGUAUUUUAAAAUUAGAGAUAAUUAAAUUUGAUUUUGUUUCAAUAAUUAUUUUGACAGUUUUAAAAUAUCUUUUGGAAUUGUUUGUACCAUUCCAGUCCUUUUCAAAUCCAAGACUGAAAUGAAUUUUUCUAGCUAUUUAUCCCAUCUUUGAGUUAAGAACAUA
ensembl:lncRNA RPL34-DT RPL34 divergent transcript